CCUACGGGUGGCUGCAGUGAGGAAUAUUGGUCAAUGGGCGAGAGCCUGAACCAGCCAAGUCGCGUGAAGGAUGACGGCCCUACGGGUUGUAAACUUCUUUUGUCAGGGAGCAAUUUGGUCCACGCGUGGGCUUCGCGAGAGUACCUGAAGAAAAAGCAUCGGCUAACUCCGUGCCAGCAGCCGCGGUAAUACGGAGGAUGCGAGCGUUAUCCGGAUUUAUUGGGUUUAAAGGGUGCGUAGGCGGAAUAUCAAGUCAGCGGUAAAAAUUCGGGGCUCAACCCCGUCGUGCCGUUGAAACUGAUGGUCUUGAGUGGGCGAGAAGUAGGCGGAAUGCGUGGUGUAGCGGUGAAAUGCAGAGAUAUCACGCAGAACUCCGAUUGCGAAGGCAGCAUACCGGCGCCCAACUGACGCUGAAGCACGAAAGCGUGGGUAUCGAACAGGAUUAGAUACCCUGGUAGUC
rnacentral:rRNA from 1 species